UUGGUAUUGCCGAGAUGAAAUAGGUGUUGCUAAUACAUGAAAAAUAACUAUAAACGAAAAAAAUUGAAAUUCCGAGAUCAUAUGGAUAUAAAGAUCGUUCGCGUGGAUAUAAAGAUCGUUCGCGUGGAUAUAAAGAUCGUUAAAAUCCGAGAUCGUAUGAAGAAGUUAUGACAUUCAAAACGCAUGACCUAAGCAACCAAGUAGUUGAGAUCGCGAUGGACGUAAGCAUCAAAAUGUCCAAACACUUCAAUAAUGAAUUUCCCACGUAAGAUUUCAUGAGAAAAAACCAAAGAAAUAAUUCAUAAGUAUUUAAUGAGUACAAAAACAAAAAUGCCUUAUUUUGUAAAAAAUUAUAUAUUAAGGACUAAAUGUGUACAAAAAUAUUAAGGAAUAAAUGUGUACAAAGUGAGAAAUAUAUUACCCUAUUAAGUCAUUUUUACCGGCUAACCUGAUUUAGCCGGUUAUAAGGAUUGAAUGUGUACAGUUUAACAAGUUGAAAGGGUAAAUAUGAAUGAAAAAAAAAUCAGUGACUAAAUGUGUACAAAUCAAAAAAUAUGUUACCCUUUUAAGUCAUUAUCCCUGGUUUCAAUUCAUAUCCAAUCUUAAAUGACAGAAUAUACUUUUAAAUAACUUUUUUUUUUAAAUUUCUUUUCAUUAUGUUCUUAUUAUUUUAUAUAAAAAACAAAAAAAAAUCCCACCACUCCAUUCCUCAUCCACCACAAUUAAUCUUUUUCAUUGAGUUCAAUUUGGGACAUAAGGAUUUUAAAAGAAAAAACUUUGUUUGGCUUGAAAAAACUUUGUUUGGCUUCCUUACAUGAAGGGAGAGGCAUGGGCGACAUGAUGUUGAGAAUCGCAACUCUGCACUCAUCAUUGGCGUUGGGAAGAGAAUUUGUCGAUGGGUUGAAAGGAGAUGAGAGAAGUUGUGGAGGAGAUUAUCAACAGUAGAAGGUGAAUGUAGAUUCACC
rnacentral:lncRNA from 1 species